UCUGGUAAAUUGGCUCGAGUAGUUUUCCUGGAUUAAAAUAAAACGAGUGAUUGAGGAGAGUGGGUAUUCCUUUUAGUAUAUUGUGAUAGUAUGAGUUAGUUCAAGUAGUAAUUGUCGAAGGAAUUAUAUAUACAUAUCAGUAGCAGCAGCAG